rnacentral:rRNA from 1 species
CCUACGGGAGGCAGCAGUGGGGAAUGUUGGACAAUGGGCGCAAGCCUGAUCCAGCUAUGCCGCGUGGGGGAAGACGGCCUUCGGGUUGUAAACCACUUUUGUAGAGAACGAAAAGUCUGUUGAUAAUACCGAUAGAUGAUGACGGUACUCUAAGAAGAAGCACGGGCUAACUACGUGCCAGCAGCCGCGGUAAUACGUAGGGUGCGAGCUUUCAUCGGAAUUACUGGGCGUAAAGGGUGGGCAGGCGGUUUUGCAAGAGAGAGGUGAAAGCCCCGGGCUUAACCUGGGAACGGCAUACGUGACUGCAAGACUAGAGUGCGUCAGAGGGGGGUGGAAUUCCAAGUGUAGCCGUGAAAUGCGUAGCUAUUUGGAAGAACACCGAUGGCGAAGGCAGCCCCCUGGGACGCAACUGACGCUCAUCCACGAAAGCGUGGGGAGCAAACAGGAUUAGAUACCCGUGUAGUC